ACGGCCACAGUACCCUGACUGUGCAAAGGUAGCAUAAUAAUUUGCCACUUAAUUGGUGGCUAGAAUGAAAGAACAAAUGGUAAGCCACUUUAUUAUUCUUCUCUAURAAAAUUAGUACCUAGACGAACAACCGUAGAUCCCCCUGAAAGACAAAAAGACCUACUGAACUUAAAGACUAGCCCUGUAAUCCAGACUCUCCUCUUUUAGCUGGGAAGGCUUAAGAGCACCCUCAACCUCUUAGAAAAAUUAAGACUUUAAGUCAUCCUAAUGACCCGUCUAUCGUUCAUCARAUAUAAGUUACCAUAGGGAUAACAGGGCAAUGCUUCUCGAAAGUCCACAUUAACAGAAGCGUUUAGCAGGUCGAUGUUGGCUUAGGAAUACUCUAUAUCGCAGCCGAUAUACAAAGUUGG
rnacentral:rRNA from 1 species